GUGUGUUUUGCCGUGUUUGUUUUGACAGCGCAUGCACUGGUUGCACUCGUGGUCGAUCAUCUGUAAAUAUAAACAGAAAUUGAUUCUGCUGGUUGGCUAUUUGAUCGUGCGGUGAUAAAAAUGGGACGUAAAACUUGUUGUGUGCCGGGAUGUUUCAGCACUUCCACCGCCGGAAGGAAGUCUUUUUUUUCAAAUCGUAGAAACACACAGAGAUACGGCUGCCUGGAAACGAUUUUGCAAUGCCGCAAACCUACCGGAAAGCAGUGUUAUUUGUGAAGAUCAUUUUGCAAUCGAGGACUUCAUCAACGCAUCGAACAAAAGCCAGGGGUUACGACGGAAUGCUGUACCGCGCCUCCGAGGAGUUUGUCUCGCGGAUGUCACUGAAAAUGAUUCAAUGGACUUCGAAAGCAAUUGUUACGCGCAAGAAAAUGAUAGCUUUUCUGAAACAGGAGAUGCUAUGGAAGUGGCAGCGGAGCUAGAAAUUGAGUCGAGCUGUUCGCCCGAUCUGCGUCAAAAGACUGUAUCGACUGAUAAGGUUUACCUGGCGGUCACACAUGCUGUCAAUAACGAUCACGA